GACGAACGCUGGCGGCGUGCCUAAUACAUGCAAGUCGAACGCAGUGGGGACGGGUGAGUAACACGUGGGUAACCUCCCAUCAGAGGGGAUAACACUUGGAAACAGGUGCUAAACCGAUACUGAUGGAUGGACCCGCGGUGCAUUGGCUAGUGGGUGAGGUAACGGCUCACCAAGGCCACGAGGCAUAGCCGAACUGAGAGGGUGAGCGGCCACACUGGGACGUAGACACGGCCCAGACUCCUACGGGAGGCAGCAGUAGGGAAUAUUGGGCAAUGGGCGAAAGUCUGACAGAGCAACGCCGCGUGAGUGAAGAAGGUUUUCGGAUCGUAAAACUCUGUUGUUAGUGAAGCGGUAGCUAACCAGAAAGCAACGGCUAACUACGUGCCAGCCGCCGCGGUAAUAC
rnacentral:rRNA from 1 species